ACAAUCUCAAUAACAAAAUAUAAUUCUACAAUAAAAAGAACCAAGACGCAAAGAAAAAGAAGAAGACGAGAAUACCAAGGACGAAGAAUUUCCAGAGGUACAAGGUUAUGAGGAAUUGAGAAUAUGAGUUUUAUAGAUGUGAGUGUUUUAUAAAUUUUCAGUUUUGGUGUUCAAAGAUUGAGACCCAAUCAAGAGGCAUUGAGCGAUGAGCACUGAUUGUAAAACUCAAAAUGCUUGGAAAGAAAACAAAAACAAGAAGAAGAUCAAGAACGCAAUAAGAUACAUGUAUGAGACUAUGAGGAAUUGAGAAUAUAAGUUUUAUUUUUGUGGAUUAGCCUGGCUUCUGAAACCCAAGUGCUUAUUCGAUGAGGAUGCAUCUUGCUGGUGAUCCAUCAAAACCGAUCAACCCUAAAGGCAAUCAAUGCACAGAAUAAUAUAUUCUUGCUAGAACCUUCGUGCUUUUAACCCUCAACAAGAACCAUCUCCUAGAUCAUAUAAUUAGCAAUUUAAUUAGUUACGUAUGCUCUGAAUUUUGAUUACUUUACAGCUUCAGUCCUUGGUCUUCUCAUCUUCUUUCUUUUUUGUCUUUGCGUCUUUGUUCCUUUUUUUUUCU
rnacentral:lncRNA from 1 species